rnacentral:lncRNA from 1 species
UUCUUUCAACGAUGGAUGGUCUCGCGUAAAGAAAAGGGCGCCUGGCGCUGAUAGGCGCCGGCGCGCCGGCCCAAAUUUGGGCCGGUCGGCUGCCAAGCGUCCGAUACAUCCUUUUUCAACCGUUUGAUUACUUUGUUUCAAAAGUCAAACACGCACAGGAAACACAAAAAAAAGGGCAGCGUGCGCACAUGCCAGAUCCCAUGCGCUCGCCGGCUCCCCGCGCUUGUCCUUGUCUUCCCAUGCUUGGUUGCCACCGCGCCACCGCGCCCGUCACCCUCGCUCGCCUGCCGUGCCCGGCACUUGCCUCGGCUACCUCCGCUCGCCAUGAUUGCGGCAGAGCUUGAACAGAGGAGGGUUCCAGCGCCCUCUAGCCAUGGUUGCCGCAUCCCAGGGUCCCGUCUCCGGCUCACCGCCGACAUCGACUUGCACCACCAUGUCUAGCCAAAAAAGCAACAAAAACCUCCAGUAUUGGGUUGAAGUAAAAGGAUUUGCCGGUUCCAACAAAAAAUAAUGAUGGUUCCAGCAAAAAUCUCGGAAGCAAAAAAACUUCAGUAGUCGAUUUGUAGCAAACAAAUUAGCUAGUUCCAGCAAAAAGAAACGCUGGUUCCAAAAAAAAAAAUCAUGUCACUUGGAGCAAUUUUGUAGCUGGUUCCAGCAAAUUACAUGACGCCGUGAUGCAUGUCAUGUAAUGGACGUAGCAAUUGAGAACAUUGGUUGUAGCAAAAACUCAGAUGGUGGUAGCAAAAAAAUUGAUUGGUUCCAGCAAAAAUCGAAGAUGGUGGUAGCGAAAAUUAAUGUGAUUGUAGCAAACAAAUCCCAGCAACAAAAACUACAGUAGUCGUCUAGAAGCAAAAAGAACAUACGGUUCCAGCAAAACAGAGUGCGAUUCCAGCAGAAAAAUUACCAAAUCCAGCACCUCAAAUUGAUGUGGUUGUAGCUUUUUCCCUGGCAGGUUCCAGCACCUCCCACUGUGGACGCAACUUUUUCAUGGCCGGUUGCAACUUCUUCAACAGUUGAGGGAAAAAAGAGGGCUAAGUGUGGGUGACGAAGGGGAUGGAGUUCAUCCAUGACUGCAGGAAUGAGAAGGGGGUGGAGUUUGUCCAUGGACGCAGCACUCCGCUUGCAUGGCUCCGCGCCCUCAACUGUAGUCGCCGGGAUGUCGAGGAUUCAGAGAGGCGGAGAGAGAGAACGGCGACAGGGGAAGGAACUGGAUAGAUCUCGCGUGGGGUGGGGAUAAGAUUUCUG